rnacentral:rRNA from 1 species
GAUGAACGCUGGCGGCGUGCCUAAUACAUGCAAGUCGAGCGAACAGAUGAGGAGCUUGCUCCUCUGACGUUAGCGGCGGACGGGUGAGUAACACGUGGAUAACCUACCUAUAAGACUGGGAUAACUUCGGGAAACCGGAGCUAAUACCGGAUAAUAUAUUGAACCGCAUGGUUCAAUAGUGAAAGACGGUUGUGCUGUCACUUAUAGAUGGAUCCGCGCCGCAUUAGCUAGUUGGUAAGGUAACGGCUUACCAAGGCAACGAUGCGUAGCCGACCUGAGAGGGUGAUCGGCCACCCUGGAACUGAGACACGGUCCAGACUCCUGCGGGAGGCACCAGUCGGGAAUCUUCCGCAAUGGGCGAAAGCUUGACGGAGCAACGCCGCGUGAGUGAUGAAGGUCUUCGGAUCGUAAAACUCUGUUAUUAGGGAAGAACAAAUGUGUAAGUAACUAUGCACGUCUUGACGGUACCUAAUCAGAAAGCCCCGGCUAACUACGUG